rnacentral:rRNA from 1 species
AAUGAACGCUGGCGACGUGCUUAACACAUGCAAGUCGAGCGAGAAAGUCCUUUCGGGGACGAGUACAGCGGCGAACGGGCGAGUAACGCGUAAGAAUCGUACCUUUUAGUGGGGAAUACCUUCGGGAAACUGGAGUUAAUACCGCAUAAUCCUUUCGAGGGAAAGACGGCCUCUUUGCUGUCGCUGAAAGAUGAGCUUGCGUACUAUUAGUUAGUUGGUGGGGUAAAGGCCUACCAAGACAGAGAUGGUUAGCCGGCCUGAGAGGGUGAUCGGCCACAUUGGGACUGAGAUACGGCCCAG